rnacentral:snRNA from 1 species
GUGCUCACUUCAGCAGCACAUAUACUAAAAUUGGAACGAUACACAGAUUAUCAUGGCCCCUGCCGAGGAUGACCAGAUGUGAAGAAAAAAAUGUAACGUGCAUUU